rnacentral:rRNA from 1 species
UACGUAGGGCGCAAACGUUAUCCGGAAUUAUUGGGCGUAAAGAGCUCGUAGGCGGUUUGUCGCGUCUGCCGUGAAAGUCCGGGGCUCAACUCCGGAUCUGCGGUGGGUACGGGCAGACUAGAGUGAUGUAGGGGAGACUGGAAUUCCUGGUGUAGCGGUGAAAUGCGCAGAUAUCAGGAGGAACACCGAUGGGCGAAGGCAGGUCUCCUGGGC